AACGAACGCUGGCGGCAUGCCUAACACAUGCAAGUCGAACGAGACCUCCGUGCUUAUUUGCGCAGGGGGACGUAACGCGGGGUAAUCUACCCGUAGGUUAGGAAUCAUUCGCCGAAGGGUGUGCUAAUGAAGGUAGAUGUCGUAGCAGCAAAGAUUUACCGCCUUUGGAUGGGCCCGCGUUGGAUUAGAUAGUUGGUAGUGUAAAAGCCUAGCAAGGCCUGGCUGCAGAGCUGGUCUGGGAGGAUGACCAGGCACAAUUGGACUGGGACACGGCCCAGACUCCUACGGGAGGGAGGAGUGGGGAAUAUUGGACAAUGGGGGGAAGCCUGAUACCGCCGUGGCGGGUGAGUGAUGAAGGCCGUAGGGUUGUAAAUCUCUUUUACACGGGAUGAUAAUGACAGUACCGGGAGAAUAAGCACCGGCUAACUACGUG
rnacentral:rRNA from 1 species